UCCUGUGAUGAGAGUAAUUUGCGAUUGAUGCUGCUAUGGUGGGACCCUUUCGCCGGGUGUCCUAUACCUGGUAGUAUUUGAU
rnacentral:snoRNA from 1 species